GCCUGGGUGGCUGAGUCGGUUAAGCAUCUGACUUUGGCUCAGUUCAUGAUCUCGCCAUCUGUGAGUUCAAGCCCCACGUCAGGCU
rnacentral:tRNA from 1 species